AUUGAACGCUGGCGGCAGGCCUAACCCAUGCAAGUCGAACGAGUGGCGGACGGGUGAGUAAUGUCUGGGAAACUGCCUGAUGGAGGGGGCUAACUACUGGAAACGGUAGCUAAUACCGCAUACCAUCAGAUGUGCCCAGAUGGGAUUAGCUUGUUGGUGGGGUAACGGCUCACCAAGGCGACGCUCCCUAGCUGGUCUGAGAGGAUGACCAGCCACACUGGAACUGAGAAACGGUCCAGACUCCUACGGGAGGCAGCAGGGGGGAAUAGUGGACAAUGGGCGCAAGCCUGAUGCAGCCAUGCCGCGGGUAGGAAGAAGGCCUUCGGGGUGUAAAGUACUUUCAGCGGGGAAGCGUUACCCGCAGAAGAAGCAACGGCUAAAUCCGGGCCAGCAGGCGCGGUAAUUC
rnacentral:rRNA from 1 species